rnacentral:rRNA from 1 species
GAUGAACGCUGGCGGCGUGCCUAAUACAUGCAAGUCGAACGAACGGGCGAGAAGCUUGUUUCUCUGAUGUUUGCGGCGGACGGGUGAGUAACACGUGGAUCACCUACCUAUACGACUGGGAUCACUUCGGAAAGCCAGAUAUAAUACCAGAUAAUAAUUUGAACCGCAUGAUUCAAUAGAGAAAGACGGUUUUGCUGUCACUAAUAGGUGGUUCCGCGCUUCAUUAGCUAGUUGGUAAGGUAACGGCUUACCAAGGCAACGAUGCAUAGCCGACCGGAGAGGGUGAUCGGCAAAACUGGAACUGAGACACGGUCCAGACUCCUACGGGAGGAAGCAGUAGGGAAUCUUGGGCAAUGGGCGAAAGCCUGACGGAGCAAGGCCGCGGGGGUGAUGAAGGUCUUCGGAUGUUAAAACCCUUUGAUUGGGAAAGAACAGAUGUGGAGUUAACUGUGCACAUCGUGACGGUACCUAAUCAGAAAGCCACGGCUAACUACGUG